rnacentral:rRNA from 1 species
GUGGAUUAGAUACCCUAGUAGUCCACGCCCUAAACUAUGAUCACUCGUUGUUGGCGAUACACAGUCAGCGACUAAGGGAAACCAUUAAGUGAUCCACCUGGGAAGUACGACCGCAAGGUUGAAACUCAAAGGAAUUGACGGGGGCCCGCACAAGCGGAGGAGCAUGUGGUUUAAUUCGAUGAUACGCGAGGAACCUUACCUGGGCUUGAAAGUUAGUGACCGCUCCUGAAAGGGAGCCUUCCGCAAGGACACGAAACUAGGUGCUGCACGGCCGUCGUCAGCU